GAGUGCGCAGGCGGUUUUGCAAGACCGAUGUGAAAUCCCCGGGCUUAACCUGGGAACUGCAUUGGUGACUGCAAGGCUAGAGUGUGUCAGAGGGAGGUGGAAUUCCGCAUGUAGCAGUGAAAUGCGUAGAUAUGCGGAGGAACACCGAUGGCGAAGGCAGCCUCCUGGGAUAACACUGACGUUCAUGCCCGAAAGCGUGGGUAGCAAACAGGAUUAGAUACCCUGGUAGUCCACGCCCUAAACGAUGUCGAUUAGCUGUUGGGCAGCUUGACUGCUUAGUAGCGAAGCUAACGCGUGAAAUCGACCGCCUGGGGAGUACGGUCGCAAGAUUAAAACUCAAAGGAAUUGACGGGGACCCGCACAAGCGGUGGAUGAUGUGGAUUAAUUCGAUGCAACGCGAAGAACCUUACCUGGUCUUGACAUGUACGGAAUCCUCCAGAGACGGAGGAGUGCCUUCGGGAACCGUAACACAGGUGCUGCAUGGCUGUCGUCAGCUCGUGUCGUGAG
rnacentral:rRNA from 1 species